rnacentral:lncRNA from 1 species
CUUCUUUCCACCUGUGGAUUGACCUGCUACAUUCAAAAGGGUGUUUCGCAGGUGAAAAAAGGAGACGUUCUCCCGGCCAAGGUUAAUGACUCCGUGAUAAUAGCAGCACAAGUCCAAAAGGACCCCCACUCCACUUCAAAGAUGAUGAGCAUCAAUCACCUCCACAUGGAGUGGCUUCCACUGUGGCAAGCCAGACACUGGGCAAGGAAAAUGCCCACACUGCAACUACGGGCAAGUUUCUACAGAAAAGACAAGCAGGAAAGUCAACUGCCACGCUCUGCCAACGCACGCUAAGCAAGCCCUUCAUAAUUCCUGCUCCACAAAGUCUGUCAGACAUGCUGAGCAGAAGGCUGAGGAUAAAUGCCCCAACAUCGUAGAGACAAUUCUGGGUAGCUGUCUAGCCCGCCAACCGUCUGUCAGUUCUUAGUCUUGGAAGCUUCUGCCUGCACUUCCUGCAAAUUCAGGUCAUAUUGAUCCCUUCUCCGGUCUCUGACGGAGGUGAAGACUGGAUAGUUAAGAGUCUUUACUAUAAGCUUAAGUUGUUUAGAAUUUAAGAAGAUCUAGAUCUAUGAAGAUGUCUUUUAGCAUGGUCAUACAAGUUAGGAUAGAAAAUGAUUUAGAUACAGAACUGUGAACUCACCAAGAUAGGCUAGACAAUACUUUGUCUAAGUUGCCAAAUUUAAAUGGACCAGACAUUAUAAAUGUAUAUCACACCUUAUAGUUUUCAUAAUCAUUUUAAUUGUACUCAAUUUGUAUUCAAAUUGAAAGAAAAAGAGCCUUUUAUUGGGAUAAAAAGGGGA